AUUGAACGCUGGCGGCAUGCCUUACACAUGCAAGUCGAACGGUAACAGGUUAAGCUGACGAGUGGCGAACGGGUGAGUAAUGUAUCGGAACGUGCCCAGUCGUGGGGGAUAACUGCUCGAAAGAGCAGCUAAUGCCGCAUACGACCUGAGGGUGAAAGCGGGGGAUCGCAAGACCUCGCGCGAUUGGAGCGGCCGAUAUCAGAUUAGGUAGUUGGUGAGGUAAAGGCUCACCAAGCCGACGAUCUGUAGCUGGUCUGAGAGGACGACCAGCCACACUGGGACUGAGACACGGCCCAGACUCCUACGGGAGGCAGCAGUGGGGAAUUUUGGACAAUGGGCGCAAGCCUGAUCCAGCCAUGCCGCGUGCGGGAAGAAGGACUUCGGGUUGUAAACCGCUUUUGUCAGGGAAGAAAAGGUUCUGGCUAAUACCUGGGACUCAUGACGGUACCUGAAGAAUAAGCACCGGCUAACUACGUG
rnacentral:rRNA from 1 species